AUUGAACGCUGGCGGCAGGCUUAACACAUGCAAGUCGAGCGGAUGAAGGGAGCUUGCUCCUGGGUUCAGCGGCGGAAGGGGGAGUAAUGCCUAGGAAUCUGCCUGGUAGCGGGGGAUAACGUCCGGAAACGGGCGCUAAUACCGCAUACGUCCUGAGGGGGAAAGUGGGGGUUCUUCGGACCUCACGCUAUCAGAUGAGACUAGGCCGGAUUAGCUAGUUGGUGGGGUAAAGGCCUCUCAAGGCGACGCUCCGUAACUGGUCGGAGAGGGUGAGCAGUCACACGGGAACGUAGACACGGUCCGGACUCCUACGGGAGGCAGCAGUGGGGAAUGUUGGACAAUGGGCGAAAGCCUGAUCCAGCCAUGCCGCGUGUGUGAAGAAGGUCUUCUGAUUGUUAAGCACUUUAAGUUGGUAGAAAGGUCUGUAAGUUAAUACCUUGCUGUUUUGACGGUACCAACAGAAGAAGCACCGGCUAACUACGUG
rnacentral:rRNA from 1 species